rnacentral:rRNA from 1 species
GAUGAACGCUGGCGGCGUGCCUAAUACAUGCAAGUAGAGCGCACAGACGAGGAGCUUCCUCCUCUGACGUUUGCCGCGGGCGGGUGAGUCACACAUGGAAACUCUCUCUAUAAGGCUGGGAUAACUUCGGGACGCCGGCUCUUAUCCCAGAUCAUAUAUUGAUGCGCAUGGUUCACUAGUGAAAUGCGGUUUUGCUGUUACUUAUUGAUGGUUCCUCGCCGCAUUAGGUAGUUGGUAAGGUAACGGCUUACCAAGACGACGAUUCGUCGCCGACCUGAGAGGUGGAUCGGCCACACGGGAACUGAGAAACGGUCAAGACUCCUCGGGGAGGCAGCAGUAGGGAAUCUUCCGAAAUGGGCGAAAGCCGGACGGAGCAACGCCGGUUGAGGGAUGAAGGUCUUCGGAUCUAAAAACUCUGUUAUUAGGGAAGACCAAAUGUGGAAGUAACUAUGCACGUCUUGACGGUACCUUAUCAGAAAGCCACGGCUAACUACGUG